rnacentral:rRNA from 1 species
AGAGUUUGAUCCUGGCUCAGGACGAACGCUGGCGGCGCGCCUAACACAUGCAAGUCGAACGAGCGAGAGAGAGCUUGCUUUCUCGAGCGAGUGGCGAACGGGUGAGUAACGCGUGAGGAACCUGCCUCAAAGAGGGGGACAACAGUUGGAAACGACUGCUAAUACCGCAUAAGCCCACAGGUCGGCAUCGACCAGAGGGAAAAGGAGCAAUCCGCUUUGAGAUGGCCUCGCGUCCGAUUAGCUAGUUGGUGAGGUAAUGGCCCACCAAGGCAACGAUCGGUAGCCGGACUGAGAGGUUGAACGGCCACAUUGGGACUGAGACACGGCCCAGACUCCUACGGGAGGCAGCAGUGGGGAAUAUUGCACAAUGGGGGAAACCCUGAUGCAGCGACGCCGCGUGGAGGAAGAAGGUCUUCGGAUUGUAAACUCCUGUUGUUGAGGAAGAUAAUGACGGUACUCAACAAGGAAGUGACGGCUAACUACGUGCCAGCAGCCGCGGUAAAACGUAGGUCACAAGCGUUGUCCGGAAUUACUGGGUGUAAAGGGAGCGCAGGCGGGAAGACAAGUUGGAAGUGAAAUCUAUGGGCUCAACCCAUAAACUGCUUUCAAAACUGUUUUUCUUGAGUAGUGCAGAGGUAGGCGGAAUUCCCGGUGUAGCGGUGGAAUGCGUAGAUAUCGGGAGGAACACCAGUGGCGAAGGCGGCCUACUGGGCACCAACUGACGCUGAGGCUCGAAAGUGUGGGUAGCAAACAGGAUUAGAUACCCUGGUAGUCCACACCGUAAACGAUGAUUACUAGGUGUUGGAGGAUUGACCCCUUCAGUGCCGCAGUUAACACAAUAAGUAAUCCACCUGGGGAGUACGACCGCAAGGUUGAAACUCAAAGGAAUUGACGGAAGGGCGAAUUCC